CCGCGCAGCGCGUCCGGCCCGCCCGCAGGCCAGCUUCUCUCGGGAGCCCCCACCCAGGCUCAUGGCUCCAUGAAGCAAGAGGAGGAGGCAGAGCGCGAGAGGUCCCGUCCGCCCCAGCCGCGUCUGGGCCAGGAGAAAAGCAAAACCAUAUUCCUGCUGCUGUCAGUUAUGAUGCACUGAGAAAACUUCGGAGACCUAAACUUUUUCCAGAGAAGAGAAGCUUUACUGGUGUUCCAGCCCUAAGCAACCAUCUUUCCUGUGAAAAAUUCCCUCUCCUAGUACUUUAGUUCUGUGGAUCCAAAAUUUAUAGCAUUCUUCUACCACCACAGGGGCUCAUAUGACAUUAACAGACAAGACACUUUUCAGAAAGACAGGCAACGUGUUGGACCUUCCUGAGCUUCUCAGAAGACAGAGGAUUUUCUUUUGAGGCUGUUGUACAGUGGCCUGAUUAUAGCUCACUGUAGCCUCGAAAUUUUGGGCUGAAAUGAUCCUCCUGCCUCAGCCUCCAAAGUAGCUGAGACUACAGGCUGGUCUUGAACUCUUGGGCUGAAGAGAUCCUCCCACCUCAGCCUCCCAAGGUGUUGAGAUUACAAGCAUGAGCCACCUCACCUGGCCAAGAGCUAGUUGUUAAAAGAGCCUAGCACUACCCCCCUCUUUCUUGUUUGCUCUCUAACCAUGUGAUCUCCACACACAUUGGCUUGCCUUCCCUUUCUGACAUGAGCGGAAGCAGCCUGAGGCCCUCACCAGAUGUGGAUGCCAGUGCCAUGCUUCUUGUACAAUCUGCAGAAUCAUAAGCUAAAUACACCUCUUUUCUUUAUAAAUUACCCAGCCUUGGGUAUUCCUUUAUAGCAACACAAACAGAGAAAGACAUAUGCAAUUUGCCAUUUUAAUCAUUUUUAACUGUACAAUUUGGUGGUAUUAAUUAUAUUUACAAUGUUGUGCAACCGUUACCACCAUCUAUUACCAAAGCCCUUUCAUCACCCCAAAUAGAAACUGUGCUUAUUCAGCAAAAACUCCCAUUUUCCUCUCCUUCCAGCCCCUGGUAACCUCUGGUAACCUCUAAUCUACCUCCUGUCUCUAUGAAUUUGCCUAUUGUAAAUAUUUCACAUAAUGGUAUCAUACACUAUCCUUUUGUGUCUAGCUUAUUUCACUUAGCAUAAUGUUUUCAAGGUUCAUCUAUCUUAUAGCAUGUAUCAGUAUUCCAUUCUUCUUUUCUAUGGCUGAAUAAUAAUUGUAUGUAUAUACUGCAUCUUGUUUAUCCAUUUAUCUUUUUGUUUGUUUGUUUUUUAAAGACAGGGUUUUACCAUGUUGGCCAAGCUAGUCUCGAACUCCUGAAUUCAGGUGAUCCGCCCACCUUGGCCUCACAAAGUACUGGGAUUACAGGCGUGAGCCAUCGUGCCUGGCCUAUCCGUUUAUCUUUUGAUAGACAUUUUGGUUGUUUCUACCUUUUGUCUAUUGUGAAUAAUGCUGCUAUGAACAUUAGUGUACAAGUCACUGUUUAAGUUGUUGUCUUCAAUUCUUUUGGGUAUUGUAUUAGGCCAUUCUUGCAUUGAUAUAAAGAAAUACCUGACACUGGGUAAGUGCCAAAGAAAAAAGGGUUUAGUUGGCUCACAUUUCUGCAGUCUGUACAGGAAGCAUAGCAGCAUCUGCUUCCAGGGAGGCUUCAGGAAGCUUCCAAUCAUGAUGGAAGGCAAAGUGGGUGCAGGCAUGUCACAUGGCAAAAGCCAGAGCAAGAGAGGAAGUGGGGAGGUGCUGCGCACUUUUAAACAAUCAAAUCUUGUGAGAACUCACAAUCUUGAUGACAGCUAGAGAUGGUGAAGCCACUCAUGAGAAACCACUCCCAUGAUCCAAUCACCUCCCACCAGGCCCCAACUCUAACACCGGAGAUUAAUUACAUUUCAACAUGAGAUUUGCAUAGGAACAAACAGUCAAACUAUAUCCGGUAUAUACUUAAGAGUAGAAUUACUGCUUGAUAAUUCUGUUUUACGUUUUGAGGAAUUGCCAAACUAUCUUCCUCAGCAGUUAAACCAUUUACAUUCCCACCAGCAGUAUACUAGGUUUCCAAUUUCUCCACAUGUUCAACAACACUAGUUAUUUUUUCUUCUAAUUAUAGCCAUUCUAGUAGGUACAAAGUGGUAUCUCAUUGUGGUUUUAGCAUCUUUUGAGUUGCUAAUGACCAUUUACAUGUCUUUUUUUUAGAGAAGUGUCUAAGUCUUUUGUCCAUUAAAAAAUUGAGUUAUUUAUCUUUUAUUUGUUGAGUUGUAGGAUUCUUUAUGCGUUCAAUUCUUUUGGGUAUUUUAUUAGGCCAUUCUUGCAUUGCCAUAAAGAAAUGCCUGAGUAUAUUAGUUUUUUGUCAGAUAUAUGAUUUGCAAACAUUUUCUCCAAUUUUUUGUGUUAUCUUUUCACUCUCUUUAUAGUGUCACUUGAUACACAAUUUUGAUGAAGUCCAAUUUAUCAGUUGUUUCAUCACUUGUACUUUUGAUGUUAUAUUUAAGAAACCAUUGUCAAACCCAAGGUCAUGAAGAUUUUUCAGUAUGUUUUCCUCUAAGAGUUUUAUAGCAUUUAAUAUUUAAGUGUUUUAUAGCAUUAAAUUUUGGUCUUCGAUCCAUUUUGAGUUAAUUUUUGUACAUUGUGUAAAAGUAUAGGUCCAACUUCAUUCUUUUGCUUGUGGGUAUCUAGUUUCCCCAACACCAUUUGUUGAAGAGAUUGUCCUUUUCCCCAUUGAGUGAUCCUGGAACCCUUGCUGAAAAUUAAUUACCCAUAGAUGUGAGUGUUAGUUCUGGCCUCUCGAUUCUAUUCCAUUGGUCUAUGUUGUCUAUCUCUGUGCCAAGUCCAUGCUAUUUCAAUUACUGUAGCGAUGUAGUAAAUUUUAAUAUCAGAAAAUGUGAGUCCUACAACUUUGUUCCUCUUCAGAUUAUUUUGGCUAUUUUGGGUUCCUUGAAAUUUUAUAUGAAUUUUAGAAUAGGUUUUUCCAUUUCUGCCAAAAGCGCUGUUGGGAUUUUAAUAGCGUGAUUACAUUGACUCUACAUAUCAUUUUGAGUAGCGUUGUCAUUUUAACAAUAUUAAAUCUUCCAACUUAUGAACACAGGAUCUCUUUCCAUUUAUUUAAGUCUACUUUAAUUUCUUUCCAGAAUGCUUUGUAGUUUUCAGUGUACAAGUCUUCUGCCUUCCUGGUUAAAUUGAUUUCUAAAUAUUUUAUUCUUUUGGGUACUACUGUAAAUAAAAAAUUCUUAAUUUCCUUUUCAGAUUUUUUACUGCUAGUGUGUAGAAACACGACUGAUUUUUGUGUGUUGAUUUUGUAUUCUGAAGCCUUGCUAAAUUUGUUUAUUAGCUUUAAGAGGCUAUUUUUGGUAUUCUUUAGGGCUUUCUACGCUUAUAUCACUUGCAAAUAGAGAUAGUUUUACUUCUUCCUUUCUAAUUUGGAUUUAUUUUAUUUCUUUUUCUUGCCUGAUGGGUCUGGCUAGAACUGCCAAUACUAUGUUGAAUAGAAGUGGCAAACACAGGCAUCCAUGGCUUCUGAUUUUAGUGGAAAAGCUUGAAAUUUUUCGCCAUUGAGAAUGAUGUUAGUCGUGAGUUUUUAAUACAUGGUCUUUAUCAUGUUGAGACAGUUCCUUUCUAUUCCUGGUUUGUUGAACAGUUCUAUCAUAAAGGAGGAAUGGAUUUUCUCAAAUGUUCUUCUAUAUCAAUUGAGAUGAUCAUGAGUUUUUCACUCCUUCAUUCUAUUACUUGGUGUAUUACAUCGACUGAUUUUCAUACGUUAAACCACUCUUAAAUUUCUGGGAUAAAUCUCAGUUGGUCAUAGUGUAAAAUUCUUUUAAGGGCUGCUGAAUUUAAUUUCCUAGUAUUUUGUUGGGGAUUUUUGUAUCUAUAAUGCAUUCAUAGGGGACAUUUGGCUAUAGUUUUCUUGUAUUGUCUGUCUAGCUUUGGUAUCAGGGUAAUGUUGGCUGCAUAGAAUGACUCAGAAAGGGUUCUGUUUCUCAAUUUUUUGGAGGAGUUCGAGAAGGAUUAGUGUUAAUUCGUUUCUAAACGUUUGGUAGAAUUCACCAGCGAAGUCAUCAGUUCCUGGGCUUUUCUUUGUUAGGAGAGUUUUGGUUGCUGAUUCAACCAAAAUUGAAUAUCAUUACUUUUUAUAGAUCUAUUCAGAUUUAUUCUUUCUUCUUGAGUCAACUUUGUUGGUUUGUAUGUUUCUAGGAAUUUGUCUAUUUCAUCUAGGUUAUCCAAUUUGUUGACAUAUAGCUGUUAUACGAAUUCUCUUACAAUCCUUUUUAUUCCUAUAAAUCAGUAGUAGUGUCUUUCAUUUCUGAUUUUAGUAGUUGAGUAUUCUUUUUCCUUAAUCUAGUUAAAGCUUUGUUAACUUUGUUGAUCUCUUCAAAGAACUAAUUUUUUGUUUCAUUGAUUCUAUUGUUUUUCUAUUCUCUAUUUCAUUUAUUUUUGCUCAAAUCCUUAUUAUUUCCUUCCUCUUUGUGGCUUCAAACUCAAUUGAACAUAAAGUAUUAAGAAAUUUGACUUUUUUCUCAAAUGUCUAAAAUGUGUAAGAAGAAAUAUAUCUAGAGUCAUGAAAAAGCAGCCUGUUUGUCAGAUUUACUGUUUAAUCCAUGUAAACAGCUUUCAUAUAAUUCAUGAUAGAAUAUUAUUAUGUGCUUUGGAAGACACUGAGGAAAGACAAAAGGUCAUUGGGCAGAACCACCCUAGAUUGACUGUUAAGGCCAUCUUCUAGUUUGCAGGACUUGUGGUAGACAGACAGAAUAAUAUCCUGGACCUCUUGGGUGUAUACAGGACAAACUGAAAUAAACUCUCAUUUUUAGAUCAUAAUGUCAUCAUGAAACAUAUCAAUUUGGUCUAUUUCUGAAGAAAACAAGCACAAUGAUAAAGUUUGAAUGUUUGUCUCCUCCAAAUCUCAUGCUGACAUUUGAUCCCCAAUGUUGGAGGUGGGGCGCACUGGGAGGUGUUUUGGUUACGGGGGCAGAUCCCUCAUGAAUGGCUUGGUGCUGUCUUCAUGGGAUUAAGUUCUCACUCCUACUUCCCGUGAGAUCUUAUUGUUAAAAAGAAUCUGAUACCUUCCUCCCCUCUCUUGCUCUCUUCCUCCCUGAUCAUGUGACACACGGGUUCCCCUUUGCCUUCCACCACGAUGGAGGCUUCCUGAGGCCCUCAACAGAAGCAGAUGCUGGCGCCAUGCUUCUUGUACAGCCUGCAGAAUUGUACAAAUCAACUCAAAGAAACCAACUCAAAGAAAGAUGGGUCUACAUACAACAAAACUGAACAAAAUCUGCAAGAAGAGUGAUUCAUACAUGGGCUAUUGAGGCAACAUGAAAUGGACAUUAAUCGACUAAGUAAAAAACAGAUUUCUUGAAGAAUUAAUAAAGAACUUUUGUUUUGAAAGUUCUCUAUUGUUUAAAAUUAGCCAGAUGUGGUGGCCUGCACCUACAGUCCCAGCUACUCAGGAGGCUGAGGGGGAAGGAUCACUUGAGCCCAAGAGGCGGAGGUUGCAGUGAGCUGAGACUGUGCCGCUGCACUACAGACAGCCUCCUGCGUGACAGAGCCAGACCCUGUCUCAAAACAUGGGGGGGAAGAAAGUUCUCUAUUGUUUGAAAUAAUAAGGAAACAUUAAAGGCUCUAAAGUCAGCUAACCAAUAGUCCUAAAAAUAGAAUGGCUCAAAAAGAUUGUCCAAUUUUGGAAAACUAACAUUUCAAAAAGUUGUUUCAUUUUUUAUGAAUCCUAAGAUUUCCAUAUCCUAGAAAACUAACAUCUCAGAAAAAAAAAAAAAAAGAUGGUAAAACACAAUUGCCAUCAUCUAUGCCUAUUCUGGAAAAAUACAGAGAAGAAGAGAGUGUUUGGUUUUUUUAACCAGGAUUUGGAAAGCCAUUAUUUAUCUCUGUGAUAGAAUAACAAUAUGUUUUGGAUGGAGGGUAAUUCUAGGGGAAAUUAUAUUUCUGAACAACAGUGUUGGUUUGUGCAGGAAAAUCACCAAAGAACAUGACUAGAAAGUGUAUAGCUACAGUUUCCCUCUUUUAAAUGGGAAUAGCAAAACAUAUAAAGAAUAUUGAUAGGCCGGGUGCGGCGGCUCACGCCUGUAAUCCCAGCACUUUGGGAGGCCGAGGCGGGCGGAUCAAGAGGUCAGGAGAUCGAGACCAUCAUGGCUAACAUGGUGAAACCCCGUCUCUACUAAAAAAUACAAAAAAUUAGCCGGGCGUGGUGGUGGGCGCCUGUAGUCCCAGCUACUCGGGAGGCUGAGGCAGGAAAAUGGCGUGAAUCCGGGAGGUGGAGCUUGCAGUGAGCCGAGAUCGUGCCACUGCACUCCAGCCUGGGUGACAGAGCGAGAGACUCUGUCUCAAAAAAAAAAAAAUUAAAAAAGAGUAUUGAUAAUUUAAACCUACUACAAUUUUGCUUCUAGUUUCUCAAGUAGUUCUGUGGAUUUAGAACCAACAUUUGCUGGGGGGAAAGAAUUACCAACAUCAAAGUCCUAGGAUGUGUCAGGGCACCAGAAGAGAAGUUUUGUCACUGUAAAAUAACUCUCUUGGCAGAGCAUGAUAGACACUGUAAACAGCAGGUUACUUCAAUGGUUAUGUGCGGUUCAGUGAAGAUCUCUACAUUAACUGAAGCACAACUCACUGCGUCCCAGGCUCUCCUGGUUCAUGUGUGAUACACUGCACUUGGGGUGGAGGUGUGCUGACAGUUGUAAAGGGCCGAGCCUUUCUUUCCCGUGGCUCUGAUGCACGGUUUCCAGAUACCAGUCAUGAAGGAAGUUCUUGAGAUUAUGGACUUUGUCCUAGUCACAUAGGGCUGCUAGGACAAAGUGCCAUAGACUUGGGGGUGGUGGCACAUAUUAAAAAAAGAAAUGUAUUUGUCACAGUCUGGAGGCUGGAAGUCCGAGGUUAGCAUCCCAGUGGGCAAGGUUCUGGUGAGGGCUCUCUCUCUGGCUUGCAGAUGGCCGCCUUCUCACUGUGUCCUCGUGUCAGGGAGAGAGAGAGCUCUGGGGUCUCUGCUUCUUACCAGGGCCCUAAUCCCAUCAUUAGGGCCCCACCCUUAUGGUCUCUUCUAACCCUGAAUAACUCCCAAAGGCCCCAUUUCCAAAUACCAUCACGUUGGGGGUUAGGGCUUCAGCACAGGAACUGGGCGGGGGAUGUAUGUUCAGUCUACCAGAGCCCCCCAGUCAGCCCCACUGUGCCCAUUUAGGGGCAGAUUGUAGGGCUCAGGUGGGACACAGAGGUGGAGGAAGCACAAGUUCUGCUUCCUAGGAAUGGCUCAGCCAAGACAAGGACAGGGACAGUGGGAUAGACAACGGCCAGUGGGGUAACCAGCAGGAGCCCCAAGGUGUCACUUUCACCCUUAGGUGAGGAAGUUGGCUGGGCACCCACACACGCCAGAGUAUGGACCAUGUUCCCUUCAAACAUGGCUCACUUAACAUUCCUAAACCCUGCAAAGGGGCAGUGCUACCUUAUCUCCUGAGGAUGGCCCUGAAUGUAGAGGAGUCACGGGAGCUGUCCACAUCACCCACCAGUGACUCUUCGCUCCCCACAUUUUCCCCAAGGGCCUGAUGUGCACUGAGCUGGGGAAGCCCUGCCAAGAUAAACUCUCCUUCCCAAAGGCCACAGAAGACAGCAGGCCUCCGACACUGCCCACAUUGAGCAGAAGGGACGGGGCAGAGGGGCAUCUGUCAGGCUGACUGCUGUGUUCUGUGGGCAGAUGGGGCCAGAGAGGACCCAAACAUGGCUCCCUUUGUCACUUGGCCGAGGGGCCAGGCCACCGUGUACCAGACAGCUUUGCCCCACCAGCCUCUGCUGCUGGGCCAGCCCCCAGCGCCGUGACCACAGCUCUGCACGCAGGCAGUGCUGGGACCAGUGCCCUGGCGGUCACAGGGGUCCUGAGCCAAUAAGCGCCCUGGGGGAGGAAUCAGAACUCAGACCGUGGAGAAGAAGGUGUUGGCCAGGAGGGAACCAGGGUGGGUGCCGGGUCCUGUCCAUGCUGGGAUCUGAGAUUCUAAGAGGUGGGUUAGGGGUAAGGGGGGCAGAAGUUGGCCCAUGGAGUGAGGGCAGUUCAGCAGAGAUUGGGAGGACAGGACAACCUGGGAAAGAGCAGAGCGUCCUCCCCAGCCUCGGUCCCUCUCCUGAUGCAGUCCUCAUCUCACUCAUAGACUCUGGAAGUCUCCCUUUGGCGAACACCUAGCCCCCAACUCCCAGGGCACUUCCCAGACAGCCAAUGCCACAUCCCAGGCAGCCCCUGCUCUGCCCUUGGGGUCUGUGCCUGGCAGAAGGGCGGCUGACCCUCGGCCCCUCUUGGCCUGGGCCCCAGCUCCUCCGGGCCCUGGAACCAGCAGAAACACCCACCCUGCGCCUGAUGGACUGGACAUGCUUGUUCCCAUUGGUGAUGGUGUGUUGGGAGGGAACUGUUUUAGAAACCAAUGUAAAUCUGUGUCUACAUCAAUUCCACAUGAGUUCAGUCAUCAUAUGGGAAGGGAAUCAUAGCUGUGGGGGGCUCCAUGCAGGACCUUGAGGGCCCCGAGGCCAGUCCCUGUGGCCACAGCAAGGAGCAUCUGCUUUAGCUAGUUGGACAAGACUCUCUCCUGCCCAGAAACAGGCAGAAGGACUUCCCCUGCUCCCCACCCAUCAUCGUAUCCCAAACACACCUGUGUGGAUGGUCACCUCAACGUCUCCCCUCAGCCCAGUGCCCGCGCUCUUCCUGAUGAGGGUUAAGCAGGAGCAGCCUCCUCUCCCCAUGUCCAUGUUGCAGGCGGCUGCCUUCUCCUCAGCUCCCACCGAGCAGAACAAGAGCCAGCCAGCUCUCUCCAAUCCCAGGAUUUUCCAGGGAUGCUGAUAACGAUGGGGGGCCUCAAGAAGCCUCCCUAAAGCAGGCAGGGCCUUGUGAGUGGGUGGUGGGAGGGAUCAGGGCUUCCUCAGCAUCUGUCAGUCCCUGGAGCAUCUGAAGGGGCUCCCUACGUCAGGAGGAAAGAGUGGGGCCGGCCCCUGUGGGUUCCCAGAGCCUGGCAUCUGCCAGUUCCUCUGCCCUCCCUCACAGACACCCUCCACGGAGCAGCACAGCACCGAGGACAGAGGCAGCAGCCCCAAGAGCAUUUUCCAAGACAACUACAUUUAUUCACACUUACACACGAGGCCCCCAACGCACUGCUUCCCACCCCCACUCCCCAGCCCCUUCCCCCCAGACCCUCCCUUCCUGCCCUCCCCAUUCAGCCACCCUCUCCCUCCCCUCCCUCCCCUCCCCUCCAAAGCUAAGGCCCAGCAAGAUCAGCACUGGGGGAGAAGAAGCUUUUGACCGCUUUGGGGCAUCGGAUGCCAGAGCCCCAUCCUUGGGGAUCGGCCCCAGAGAGCCUGCUCAGAAGCCCCUACUGGCUACAAUGCUGCUUCUUCUCCUUCCUGGAGACCAAGGGGUCACCCUUUCUCUUUUGAGACUGUGAGGGGCCACCGAGCCCCCAAGUCAGGGAUUGCUCCCCAGAGACGCUGAGCCCAGGCCCUGGGUGGGGUGUCUUUUCAGCAGGGGACAGGCUUCCAAAGAGAGGUCGCUUCUUGGCCGUGUUGGCAGGAGAAGGUGCUAGGUUGAGGCCUCUUCUCUCAGCAGAUGGGGACUGAUGAGUUCCCUGGGGUCCCCACUUUUCUGGGCUGAGAAGGCCCGAGGCAGGGACAGGGCUCUGGGGUAGCCACCAGGGCAGAAGCUUGUGCUGGGAACCCAAGAGGAAGGCCAGGCUGGGGAGUUCCUCCUCCUCACUUGACCCCUGAGCCAGCCCAUGUGACUCCCUGACAGGAGACCCUCCAGGGAGAUCCAAGGCAUCCUUGGUACCCACGCCAGGGCAGGUGGGUCUGUGGUCCUGGGGAGGAGAGGUUGGCCGGGCAGCCCUCAGCCCAGGGGAAUCCUGACAUCCCAAAAGCACAACAGAGUCUUUGGACCUGGCCAUGCCAGUGUGUGCUCUGCCUCGUCCCUGAGAGUCCCGGGCAGUCGUCUGGAGUGGGCAGGUUUCCAUGCCAACCCCUUGUUGGGGGUCAGGGACGUCUCUCUCUGCUCCUUGGCCAGCUGCAAACUUAGAAGAACUUGAGUCCAACCGGGCCGUGCCAUGACUAGGGGCUGCCCUCGCAUGCUGUUUCUCCUUCAAGGGUAGGAGGCGCUUCUCCACUAGCUGCGGGAGGAAAGGGGGCACUUACUGGCACUGUCCCAGGUGUGAGCAGGGCCCAGGGUGGUGGAGACCAGGGCACUUAGGCGGCAGGUAGGGAAGCCUGAGGCAGCUGGGCUUUAUGUCAAAGAGAGAGGGUGUGGCUCUGCCGGGCCUCCCGUUGGGCCUCACCACAGCUUGCAUGCUGACUCCCCUCCCUGGCUCCUGUCCAUCCUACUCCCUCUGAACCUGCAUCUUCCCACUCCAGAGUGGCUCCCCAAGAAGCCGAGCAUCCCCAGCGGGGGGGAUUAGACAAUCAGGUGGGCCUUGUGUGCCAGGUCCCUCCUGCCCCUGGGGUACCUGGGCAAGGGUGAGUCCUUCCUCCUGCUCCAGGUCCUGGCUUAGGGCCAAGAAAUCCAUCUGUGGAUCUGGGGAAAGCAAUUCUUCCAGGAAUCGGGGAUGAAUGACGGCCUCCACCUGGAAACAGAAGGAAGAAGGCGUGAGCUUCCUGGGCAGGGAGUAACCUAGAGCCAAGGACACCUGGAGGAGAUGCAGAAAGCAGCGAGCGCCCCGUCCCCACCCUCCUGGGGCUGUCUCAUAUCAUGGUGACCACCAGCUACAGACACAGACCACAGACCUGGUAGCUACACACACACAGACAGAGACACACAAACCACGCACAGACACACAAACAGACCCACAUAUGACACAGGAAAAGACACAGACACAGGUAACGUACACACUCCACACUCACACCCACACAGACACACAAAGACACACAGUAACAAACCACAGACACAAACACACAGCAACACACAGACACACACAAUCACAUACACAGACACUCAAAUCCAUGGAAAUACACACACUGCUGAGUAGCUAAGGAACAGAGCUUAAUUCCAAGGACCUGGGAGUGCCACCCCCUGGAAUCCAGCAGACCCCAGCACUCCAGGCCAGCCCACCUUGGUGACGAAGUCUUUCUGGGAACACAGCUUGUCAAUGUAGCUCAGGAGGCCCGGGUCUGGGGGCGUCCAGUCCUCUUCCUGUGGCUGCUUCACUUCGCCCUCUUCCCGUUGUUUCUCGGGCUCCCCCGUGGCCCCGAGGGAAGGCCCCAGCAGCUCCUCCAUGAUGUCCACAUACUCCUGCACCACUUCUGGGGGGAUCUCCUCAGGGACCUUGGUCUCUGCUGGUCUCUGGGGCCUGGGUGGUGGCAGGCGGGCCUUGGUCUCUGCUCGCCGGUGGGGCCGGGGUGGUGGCAGGCGGGCCUUGGUCUCUGGCCUCUGGGGCCUGGGUGGUGGCAGGCAGGCAGUCGGGGCCUUGGGGCCGGCCUUGCUGGGAAGGUACACUGAGGCAGAGAGGGAGGAGGACGGGCGUGGUGAGGGCCGCUCCUCCUGCUUGCACCACACAGGGGAGGGCAGGGCUUGGGGAUGUGAAGUGGGUCCCAGCUGGGUCAGGACCACCUGAACCACAGCGCCCCCGGAGGAGGCAGGAGGGGCACAUCUGAGACAGCAUCGCUUGGGAGGAAGUUUGGAGCCACCAAUAUGCCGUGUACUCUCCCCGCUCAUCCCUGCUUCCUGGGCAGAGCAUAUGUGGAGUUUUGGACAGGCGAGGGGAGAGAGUAGCUAGGAAACUUGACCAGGUCAGUACCGAACAUAUGCUCCUGGAAACUGUCCUGUUGGAGGGAGCAAAUCCCCCUCUCGAAGGGAAGCAUGGGGUGUGGGGACAGUGGCCUCCCUUGGCCCCUUUGGCCUUUGCCACGGCUCCUGUGGGAAUGUGGGAAGCCAUACCUGGUUGCUUGACCACCUCAGGGGCCGGGGGUCCUCGAGGUUCAAGCCUCGGUGUGGCUGGAGGAGGCAGGCACUGGGGCCCCUUCAUCCAUUGCGAUUUCUGAAUCUGCAUCUCCUCCUCAGCCUCAAACUCCAGGAACCUGGCGGUGAAGGAGGCCCAGGCUGUGCUGAGAGGGUCCAGGCCCCCUCCCCCCAGGACCAGGCAGCGGCCGAGGGCAGGGAUAGGAGGGAGUGCCUCGGGUGGGCUGUCCAGGCCCUCACUGUGUCCCAUCCCCUAGUCCCAGGAGAAAGCUGCUCCCAGAGUUCUGGGCUCACCCUCCCUCACCCGGCCCCUGCAGAGCCCAUGGCAUCAACGGGGCUUCCUGACUCAACUCAGGGCCACGAGGUCCAGGAGGGUCUCGGGGGACCCCUCCUCCAGGUUUCAGCUGGCCAGGGGUGGGAUUUAUGGCAGAAGGCAUCAGGGAUGAUGCCCAGAUGCAGGAGUCCUGAGGCUAGGACUGUGGGCCCCUGAAAGAUAACCCAGGGGCACGAGGCCUGGGAGACCCCUGGUCAGGAGGAAGCAAAAGCUGAGCUCAGAGGACAGGGUCCCUUUCCCCUGAGGCUGCUAUCUGUCUGCCUUCAUGGAGGGGACUGCCCAGGAGCAAAGGCAGUCAGGCCAGAGAUGGGUCCCAUGGUGUCCCAGGUGCAGAUCUCCCCAACCCAACUCCCUGGCCAGGCUGGGAUGGGAGAAAACCGACUUCUGGCCACUGCUGUGAGGAGCCUGCACCCUACUCUUGUCCAUAGUCACUAGCGCCCCUUCUCCCCAUCCCCACAGCUGGAGGUGACCCACUUUGGGCUGUGAUGCUGGCUGCUCCUGCCAUGACCUCCAGUGUCAAGGCAGGGAUGGCCCCAGGCCAGGCAGGGGAUGCUUCCCAAUAGGCCAGGACAGAGACCCCAGAACACUCUAGGUGGCAGGAGCAGCUUCCUGAGGGAGCCAGGGGCCCAGAGUGUCCUGGGUUUCUCCACACCCUCCUCAUACUCCACGUUGAGAAGCCACCACGGCCACCGGGCCUCUGUCAUUCACUCUCACCCUGCCACGCGGGCCCUGCUCCCAGGACCCCAGACUCACUUUUCCGCCAUCUCGUAGAAGAUCAUCCGGUCAGAGUUGCUCGUGUGCUGCCAUUCCCUCAUGGCCCGCCACAGUCCCUCCUCCAGGGUCAUGGUGGGCUUCCGCCGGGCCAGGGAUCGGAGAACUGGGCUGUAAACCAGUGCAGUCAGUCUCAGUCUAUAAGCCCACCCUUCAUCCCAAGCCCACCUGCUCCCAACACCUGGCCCCUGUCCUCCCCACACCUGUCCUGCCAUCUGACCCUGUCCUGUUCUCCCCCAUGUGGGCUUCUCAGGCCCCAGGACACACCCCCAAGAUCAAACAUCAACACAAGCUACCAAGUGGCCUCUCCGACUGCCCCUCGAGUCCUCAGUGUUGAGAAGUGGACUCAGUACUAUGGGUGGAACAUGUGUGUCUCCAACAUUCCUGUGCUGAAGCCCUCAGCACCAGUGUGUCAGUAUUUGGAGGCAAUCAGGGUUAAAGCAGGUCAUGAGCGUGGGUCCCAGUCAUGGAAUCCAAGCCCUGAUAAGGGCAGAAGGAGACGCCAGGGCUCUUGCUCUCAGCCACGAGGAGACAUAGCCAGAGACAGCUCUCUCCAGCCAGGAGGAGGGCCCUGACCAGACACCCCAUCUGCUGUCACCUUGAUCUGGGACUUCUGGCCUCUGGAACUGGGAGACAUGAAUGUGUCUUGAUAAAGCACCCAGUCUACGGCAUUCGUUAUGGCAGAGCCUGAGCUGACUGAGACAGCGUGCACACAGAAUGACCUGGGGGUGAGGGUUAAAGUGCAGGUUCCAGGGCCCCAAGACUGAGCAUUUAACCGGCUUCCUGGGGACUCUGGAGCAAGGCAGCCCCUGGGGACGUAGCCUCAGGGCCCUGGAGCAUGAGGAGCAGGAGCACACGUCCAGAACCAAAGCAGAGCGGUGUCCACGCCACUGCAAGCAGCAGGUCCAGAUCACACAUUCCCACAGGAGCCAUGGCAAAGGCCUGUGAGCCUGGGGCAGCUCCACCCCAAGAAUCAGGGUCCCCAGUGCACCGGGACUCCGCUCCAAGGAGGAAUGCAACCAGUUCCAGGGUGCGGGAACAGCGAGAUUUUUGGGAAUGAAAAUGGGGCCACCUUCCACCUACACCCCAGGCAGGGGACUUCCCUAGGGGAACGGCCAGUGUGUUGCACGGUGGAUGUGCUCAGGCUCCCGUUUGCUCAUCAGCGGGAAACACAGGGUCACAGAGGCACCGCAGGGUGGAGAGAGGCAGGGACUGGGAAUGAAACCACAAACUCUCCCAGAUGCUGACGUUGCUGCCUCACAGUCACCACAGUCCAUGGCCCUGGGCUGCUGGACUCAUGGUGCACUCAGAGCUAUCACUGGAGCCCGUGGCUUUGGGGAGUGCUCUCCUAGAUGGCCUAGUCUUGAUAAUGAUAGUAAUGGGGACAGUAAUCAUAACUGCUGUCAUGUAAUGUGUCAUAGCAUGUGCCAGGCACUGUGCUAUGCAUGUCAUAUGUGAGCUCAGGUUAUCUCUUCACCAUCCUCUGAAUGAAGCAUCAUUGUCCCUUUUUCUAGGAGGGAUUGAGGGUGAAGAUGCAAAUACCUGCCCGGCAUCGGCCCCAGUGCAGGGCCCAAGACCAUCCCCCUGUGCAGGCUCCACCACCGCUGUGCUAACUGGACCUCAGCGGAACUGCGGGCAUGUGCCAGGUUCCUGCUGGGCCCUGCAGCUCCUCCCCCCGGCCCCAUGUGAGGUGCUCCUGGCCAUCAAUACUGGGUUAAAGGGGAGGCACUGGGGUGUGUACUCAAAGACCUAAACCCAAACCGUAGCUCACGUCACACCAGGAACCCCCUCUGACCUGGGUCUUCUGUAAACAUUGUUGUGAAAAUUAUUGAAAGUAAGGAUUGGCUGCACUCACGGGACAGUGACGGGCAGUUGAGAUGAGGCCCCUGACAGUCUGUCCUGAGCCGCAGCCAGAUUAAUAUUGUUGAAAAUGUACCUUCCCAUAGUGCAGCCCAUCACCCUCACAACCGCCCUGCAAGCUCCCCUGAACAGCGUGACCUCCCGUCCAUCCAGCAGCCUCUUUACGUGUGAGCUGCAGGACCAGCUCCAAUGCCCCGAGGACACUCACAUGAGGAAGCACGAAAGCGCUUCGGUGUCAGGACUCUGGGGAAGGUGCCUCCGGGCCAGGGGCUUGUAGUGCUGCCAGAGUCGGAAGUUCUCAUAGACACUCCUGGGGUUACAGGAGUCAUCUGGCGGGGCCUUGGCCUGGGAGGAAGCCAGGCUGCCCUCUCCAUGAGCCCCUUGUGGCCAUGGCCCAGCAUUCCCUUGGGACACAAUGGGGGGCAACUGGGCAGCCGGUGGUGGUGGUGGUGGAAGAGGAAGGCCCUGGGACCAGCCUCCCUCACAGGCCUGGGUGCCCCCAACCACCUGGGCAGCCAUAACAGGCACCACAGGAGCAGCUGCCAGGAGUAGGGGAGGUGGACACACAACACCUCCGCAGAGGGCGCCCGGAGCCUGCCAGACGAGGGGGGCCUGAGUUAGGACCAAGGUCUGCGCCUGAGCGGCCUUCACAGGCCCCACCUCUGUCCUCAUCUGGACAAAGACGUUGGAAGCCCCGGCCCCACUCGGGCCGCAGCCAUCCUGUUCUGUCACCAGAGGUGUGCUGGGGAAGGUAGACAGCACCAGAGGGCCGCCUGGAGGAACCCCUGCAGUCACAAGGAGCGGCCUGUGUGCUGGGCCGGGAGCGGGUGUGGUGAAGGGCAGAGCCGUGAACACAGACAGGGAGGUGCCAGGGUUCACGGUCACGCCCGGUCCCAGCACUGGGUAUGC